CCCCUGCACAAGCCCCGCCCCCAGUCAGCUUGGUUUGUAGUUUUGGACCAGCCGCCUCUGGUUCCUCUAUUAGCCGGUAAGCAGUUCUGGUUCUGGCUGCUGUUGGCUCAGUGGGUUAAGGUUAGUCUCCCUCCUCUUCCUCACCUCAGGUUUACUCUGCCUCGCUCUUCAUCAUCACUGUGACCUCAGCUUCCUGUUCUGACCAACAACCAGCAGAUCAGCCAGAGAAACACGAAGAGUCCAGAACCCUCAGCAACCGACCGAGUGAGUAAACUGCACCGGUUUACUGACUGGUUACCGACUGGUUACCACCUGGUCACCGACUGGUCACCACCUGGUUACCGGCUGGUUACCGACUGGUCACCACCUGGUCACCGACUGGUUACCAACUGGUUACCACCUGGUUACCACCUGGUCACCGACUGGUUACUGACUGGUUACCGACUGGUUACCACCUGGUCACCGACUGGUCACCACCUGGUCACCGACUGGUCACCACCUGGUUACCGGCUGGUUACCGACUGGUCACCACCUGGUCACCGACUGGUUACCAACUGGUUACCACCUGGUUACCACCUGGUCACCGACUGGUUACUGACUGGUUACCACCUGGUUACCGACUGGUUACCAACUGGUUACCACCUGGUCACCGACUGGUUACUGACUGGUUACCAACUGGUUACCACCUGGUUACUGACUGGUUACCAACUGGUUACCACCUGGUUACCACCUGGUCACCGACUGGUUACUGACUGGUUACCGACUGGUUACCACCUGGUCACCGACUGGUCACCACCUGGUCACCGACUGGUCACCACCUGGUUACCGGCUGGUUACCGACUGGUCACCACCUGGUCACCGACUGGUUACCAACUGGUUACCACCUGGUUACCACCUGGUCACCGACUGGUUACUGACUGGUUACCACCUGGUUACUGACUGGUUACCAACUGGUUACCACCUGGUCACCGACUGGUUACUGACUGGUUACCAACUGGUUACCACCUGGUUACCACCUGGUCACCGACUGGUUACUGACUGGUUACCGACUGAUUGAUCCUGGUUGUAUAGUCAGUCUGAACGGUUUGAUGGAACUUCAAGAACUACCUGGACGUUUCAUUCCAUGCCGGGCUCCACAGCAUGAUGCUGCCACCGCCGUGUUUGUUGUGUCACUGUGAAGCAACGCUGUGUUUGUGCCUCUGGAGCUGGAACAGAACCUCUGUCUCAACGUUCGCUCUCGUGUUUGCAGACUUUAAUCCUGGAUUUCAGCACCUUGUUGCCCAGCUCCCAGCUGUCCCAGUAACCCUCCAGCCUCCCAGUCCCGACCCAGUUCCACUGACAGCCUUCCAGCCGAUGCUUUUCACACCAGUACGUCACUCCCAGUUCAGAUGAAACCAGUGUCCUUCCCAGCUCAGCCAUAAAUUCCUCACACAGCCGACAGUUUCCAUCUGCAGUCCUUACAGGAGGAAACCGAUCAGGUAGAAACCGUUUCACCUGCACGGCUGUGUUCGGUUCACUGCAGCCUGAACCCAACAGCGAUGCUGCACUUUGUGACGCAUUUUGGUUUUCAGAGCAGAGAAACGUCUGGAAUCUACAGAGGAAACGAAACAUAGCCUGACAAUGUCAAUUAGGUUGUUGAAAAAUGAAAAUAUUGUCCAAACUGUUUCUUGCUUGUUAUAGGGUUGUAAAUGGGCACUUUAUCCAUAAACAACUCAAACAUUUAUGAGUUUAAGAAGCCCUUUUAAAAAUGGUCCUAACAUAAUGUUGAGAAAAACAACAGAUGAACUUUACCGUCUCAAUCUGAUGAACUGACUCAUCCAGACUUUUCUGUCCUGAAGUUGGACAAUAAACAGAUUUAUCUUCAUCCUAAAAAUAAACACACCUGACACCAA